rnacentral:rRNA from 1 species
CCUACGGGAGGCAGCAGUGGGGAAUAUUGGGCAAUGGGCGCAAGCCUGACCCAGCGACGCCGCGUGAGGGAAGACGGUCUUCGGAUUGUAAACCUCUUUCAGCAGGGAAGACAAAAGGACGGUACCUGCAGAAGAAGCCACGGCUAACUACGUGCCAGCAGCCGCGGUAAUACGUAGGUGGCAAGCGUUAUCCGGAAUUACUGGGUGUAAAGGGUGUGUAGGCGGGUUUGCAAGUCAGAUGUGAAAAUUAUGGGCUCAACCCAUAACCUGCGUCUGAAACUACAGAUCUUGAGAGUGGGAGAGGAUAGUGGAAUUCCAGGUGUAGGAGUGAAAUCCGUAGAUAUCUGGAGGAACAUCAGUGGCGAAGGCGACUAUCUGGCACAUAACUGACGCUGAGGAGCGAAAGCGUGGGUAGCAAACAGGAUUAGAUACCCCUGUAGUC